GGAGAAGGCGGCCGGCGUCCGCUCCUGGCCCGGCGCUGCGGUGUGGGGUGCUGGGAGCGGAGCUGCUCCGGGAUCUUUCCACGUGCGAGCGAUUCGCUUUCAGGUGAGGCAGGGUGGAACCACACGGGAAUCGUUCUAAUUUCUGCAACGAAAGCCUUGUUUUAAGACGUGUGGAAUUCCUCAAAAGACGGACAGAGGGAUUUUAGGACACAGGUAACUGCAGGGGACGGGAAAUAUAAAGAACAUGGAAAGGCUUCCGGAUCUGCAGGCGGGCGCGAAAGUACCCGGUAAAUGCUGCUGCGUGUUUGGGCUUUUGUUUGUUUGUUUUUCCUCUCCAGUCUUUGCCGUUCAUUAUUGUUAACUGGAGAAACAGUAGGAAAAGCUGUUAGCAGAUGUUGUCUGCUAACAGACAGAAGAGGGAGCUCUUGCCGCGCCUACCCUGGGAAGUGCCCGUCCCUGCGGCUGCUGUACGGAAGCCCUCCUUCGGCAGAGCAGUUCCAGGGAAGGGGCGUGGAACGAAAGCGGUCUCUACUCUUACUUUGCUUGGAGGUGACUGACAGGGCCUUACUUGCCAAAUUCAUGCUGAUGCGGCUCCAUGCUCAGCGGAGGAUGAAGUCAGUGAAAAUGUAAAAAUGUUGCCUGAAGCAAAUAAUGGUGUCUUAUUAAAAACCAAACUCCAGGCAAGCCCUCAGACUCAGAGAACCCACCCUUUUUCCCUCAACAUCCUUGCGUGAGCGUAUGCUAUUGAGUUGGUGGGACAGCUGAUUGAGAGGGAUGAAGUAAAAAUAGGUGUUCAAACACUUGUAAAUUGGAAUCCAGCAAACUGUUACAGAGCUGUUGCACAGUUUGACAGGACUGAAAUGGUCCUGAAGUCAUUUGUACCAAUCCAAAAGCCAACUACUGGCUUUUAAAAAAGAGCCAGAACUUUCCUAGUGGACUCAGGGCCUGCCCUACCUACCACAUCAUUCUGCUUUUGGGUAACUUUCUGAAUCACUGCAUGGCCAAACUGCCUGUGACUGCACAGCACAGGAUCAGGCCCCUGUAAGGGUGUGUUUUUUUUCUUUGUGUCACUGUUUUGUGCUUGUGUCUGUUGGUGCAGGAAGCUUCUGCUCGAGUAGUUGAGUGAUUUAAACAAAUCUCACGAUCGUGUUCAGUCCAUCAGUUAACACACGGUCUGAAGUUCUGUUUCUCAGUAAGCCUAAAGGAUCAUCAGCCCAGCAAAGCGGCAUCCUGAGGGUUUCUAAUGACCUACCCCCCAGUAUGAUGGAACUGCUUUUACAUUCUCUGGUUGCUGUCCUUUCUGUAACGUUCACAUAUUGCCAGUGCAGUUGUUUUCCAACCACUGCUUUCAGUAUGGUUGUCCAUUUAAAAUAAACAGUUACUACUGAAAUGUGGUGUGCAAUGUGGGGAGAGGGAAAAGAAAUAGCAACAACAAAAGGACAGAUGCUUGAAUUUCCCUGCAGUAAACAUGGUUUUAUUAGAUAAUUUUGCUGUGGACUUACAUGACUGCAAAACUCUUUUGUACAGACUUCUGUAAAAUUGUAGUAUUUGUAGAGAGCUGAACGUUUUCAAACUACAUUAUUUCAUGAUUUAUACUAAUAGUUGCUAAGGCACAUGGCUGCUAUAGUAAAAAUGGACUAGUGUUCAUUUCUGCAUGGAUGGUAACAAGUGUUUAGUUUGCUGAGCUUCAGAUAUUAUACCGUGAAAUGAGACUCCUUGACACAUGGUGGCUAAUCCAGUCGUAAUAGCUGGCUACUUGUGUGUAGACGCCGGGGUGACCGGCCUCCCCACAGUUUUCACCCCAACUCACAACACCCCAGACAUAAGCCACAUUUUCUGCAUCAAAGCAAACCAGGGGACCUCCUGAAUCACCUUUGCAGCUGUCAAUGGAGCCAUCGUAAGUACCUGCGGCAAAAGAGGGUGGGGGAACAACAACAACUCAAAAGUAAGUUUAUAUGCAAGCUAGCACACAAAGUAGAGCUCAGGAGGCUUUUUAGAUCCAUGUCACUUCCUGACAGGUGUCUGCCUAGCAGUCACUACUACUGGAAGUUCCCAGUCUCUUUGGUCUACUAUUUCUUAAUUAUUUUGAAGUGCAGCCCCCCCUCUUUACAAUUUUGGCUGGCCCAAAAGCUCAUUUGCUUUCACGUCAGGAAUGUGAUUCUUCUUGUGACAGAGAAGAAUUCAGACAUAUUGUAUAUUAUAUCAUUAGAAGUAGCUUAUAAAAAGGGGACAGAAGGUAGAAGAAAAGGGUAAGAAGAUUAGUGGACCGAUCCCUCUGGAAAUUAAGCUAUUAUAAUAUGCAUGUUCCUCUACAUCUGCUAUUGAUGUUCUCUCUACCUAGUAGUACAUUGGCCAAUUUGAUCUGAGCUACGCAGAAGUAGAAACCUCAAAAUUAAUUUCUCUGCAGGCUUUAUGGCAAAAGGUGGGCAGAUCCAAGGAUAGUACAUGAAUGAUGGGAUACAAGAGAGUGUAACUGUCUUUAACUGAGCCCUUGCAGAUAUGGCACUUGAAGUGUGGACCUUCUGGAGCACCAGGUGACAGCUCUGAGACAUAAACAUAUGGGCUGUGGUGCUCUCUACAAGUUUCUGGGGUUUUGAAGCUACUUGUUUCCAACUUAGCAAAUGUAGUGGUUGUAAUAAAUAAAUAAAGAUGAAAGAAUAUGAUAUAGGCAAAAACUUGCUAGAGAGUUGGAAUACAAUUUAUCCUUUGUCCCACAGACUCAGUAGAAGUGUGUAAAGACAUCUUUAUGUCCUUCUUUAUACUCGGUUGAUCCACCUAGUUUGAAGGAACCCAUACUAAGCAAGGCUCCCCACGUUUUUAAACAUGUAACCUCUUUCUUGAGUCUCUACAUCACUGAGAAAGAGUUCUGUGAAUGUUUCAGGAUUGGAAAGACCAAUUCUAUAAAACUAGAUUUUGUUCCCCAUACUCAGUUGAAUUAACGUUACCUUCUAUCAGUAGUUCCAGCAGAUACCAGUCCUUAAUUCCAAAAUUUGUAUCUGCAUUCACGUUGUACUGAAUUUAUUCACAAAUGGUUAAGUUUUUAUAUCCAGUUUUAAUUUGUCUUGUUAUGUACUUUGUUUAAAUACUGCCUUCACUUCAGAGUUAAAGAACAGUUGAAACUAUCUGUCCUGUAAGUUGAAAACUCAUUGCUCUUUAAGACAUGUGUUUGGCAAUACCUUUUGUUACUUGAAAAGCAAAAAUGUGUACUCAAAAUGCUUAUUUUAGUAUUAGGAAUGACAACCAGUUUCCUGGCCAGACUAAUCUUUGUUUGAAAAGUUUAUAGUAUUUUUCCUGGGGUGUGGUUUAGUGGUAGAAAAUAUCUCAGCAGAUGAAUAGUCACAUGCUAGUCAAUAGGACUGUGAAUGUGCUCCAAAAAAGGCAUUUGCUUUAAUAUGUUCCUGAAGCAGAAUGAAAUAGAGGUAGGAGGAAGUUCAGUGGGCUGUAAUCUGCUUGUGUGUUUAGAAAACAUGACUCCAACUGUGUGCUGAAAUUUGCUUACAGUCACUGAAACUUGGCAUUCUGUCACCAUAACUGUUUAUAAUUAGAUAGAUAACAACAGAUGACUGUAGACUCCAGUGGCUAGUGCUUUGCUAAUGACAAUGCCGUUGCAUUUGGUUUCUUGCAUUUUCCAAGUCUAAAAGAUUCCCAGCCUGUAUGUCAGUCCUUAGCAACGGUGGGCAUGAUGGUAAAGUUAUAGUAAGAAAAUUCAUACUUGCCUGCACAUGCCAUUUUUUGAAAGAAUCGUCCUGGAUACAUUUCAGAACAAUUCUGAAAUAAAUUAACAUUUCCCCAUUUGAGCACAUAUUGUUUGGUAUAACCUAGAAAAGAAAAUGAUAAACUUUUCUAAAUUUAAACUGAUAAAUGUGUAUGAAACACUUUUAAUAUCAUAAUAUGAAAGUUAUAGAUUUGCUAAUCUACUGAAUUUAAUCUUAGAUAUUAUAAACCAGGUACCUUAAACUGCUGCUAACACUUGCCCCACAUCCACUGCCCAUAUGUUUCAAAAUCAAAGCAGAGUGGUUAAAUUGCAGUAUUAAAUGCAGUAGUUUCAUUUUUUUGUAAUUUUUACUCCUUCCCUUUGUUACUUUCUUCAAUUUUUUCCAUGUUUUCCAUAUCAGGGUUUCCAGACACUGGGAGACCAGUAUAUUGUUUUCUGUGAAAUGGAGAAACGCCUCUGAUCAUCCUUGUUACUUCUUUCUCAGAAAGAUGAGAGGACUGGAACUUGCAGAUACAGUCCCCAUCCAGAAACCUUGCAUUUAUCGCCAGCCUUGAACAUAUGCUCUGACCAGGGGACGCAGGCAGGUGUGCUGUAUUUCAAGGAGCACUCUCCUUUUCCAUGACCUUUCAGCUCCAGCAGAGCGAUGUCAUUUUCAUAAGUUGCAGCAUCAUACUUCUCAUGGAUUAUCAGUUGCUUUAGUCUGUAAGUGUCUGUCUCUCUGUCAUACUGUAUUGUAUCCAACAGCCCAAUCCAGACACGGUAUUGAUGAACUCGAGUUGCUCUGGAAAAGGAGCCAAUGAAAUAUGUUUUGGUACCUCACACAAGCACUGUAUGUUUCAAUUACUCAUAAAUUUUUGCAUUUUAUCAAAGUUUAUGUGGAAUAAAUAUUCAUAUUAUACACGUAUAGUUUCUUUCUGGACUUGUAUGUCGCAGUUGUUCUGAAGGAGGUAGAAGGCUGGUGACACUUAUUGCUGAGUCCUGAAGCUAAUACAGAAAGACAGUACUAAAGGCCAGUGUGUUUAGUGCCCUCACAAAGAGAAAGCAAAGCUUAUGUCUCUGAUAUCAGAUGAAAGAAGAAUGGGCAAAUACACAUGGAACACUGGGCUCGGCAGGUCUUUCCUGCCCACUCCUGCUGGCUCUGGGGAAUAGGUGGCACCAGGGACAUUCUUGGGGGACAGGCACUAGACCUCCCCAGUGCUGAGAGGAGGUAAUUCGUAAUUACUUUUUUGCUCACUGACAAAAUGCUUUGUCUUUGAAUCCCUCCCACUGUUAAUGUGAGCAAAUCAGUGAUUUUAGUUGUGUUAUUGAAUGGGCAAGUAAGAAUUAGCAACCAAGUAGCCGAGAAGAGCAAUAAUGCACAGAUUCAUCUUUUCUACUUUGCAAAGAAAUCAUUUCUCAGGUUGUUGCUUUUACCUGACACAGUGUGCAGCAGUCAGAACCCAACAGCCACCAAUAUAAACCCCUCCACAGUACACUGUUGCACCUUCAGUGCCAGUGUCUUUAAUUGCCACUUGCCAAGGGAAUUCACCCUAUUAAAAUGACAGAAACCCAAAUAAUAUGAAAUCAUCAUUGUGCUAUUUUUUGUGCAUAAAGGGAAACACAAUAUCACUUCAUCUCCUUGACUUAAUCUGCUAUUAAGAAGUUGUCUGUAAUCUGGGCUCUGACAUAAAAGCUCUGUAUUCUAAACUACAGUAACGUUGUUGUCUUCUGACAUUAUGCAGUGUCUCCCUCCCCGCAGCUUUCUGUCAGGAAACUCCUAAAAAAACCAGAUGGAGGAUCUGACCUGGUAUGAUCAAACGUUACAUUUAUGACUAUAAUUAUCAUACAUAGCUAUAGUAUUAAGUAUUUUGCUGGAUUAUUUUCAACACAUACUUGCACUGUAAUGCUGUAUUUUGUAGCUUGGUGUUUUACCUUAUGAACUGUGCUUCUAUUUAUAUUCAUUCAGUGCAUUGUCACUACUAAUGUAAAACAUGAAAUUAAUGUAACUGAUUUUGUUAUUUCCGUACAUUUUAACAGAAGGACAAUAAUAACCAUUUAAAUUGUUACUGAAUGAACACAUGAGCCUAUAUUUGUAAGGUCUGGUUGUGUCUGUGUGUGGGGGGUUAUUAUUAUUUUUUACCUUUCUUGCAGUCUGUCCACCUAUGAUUCUUUUCCGUCGAGUUAAUGUGUGAUUUACAACACCGCAGUUUAUUUGGGGAAGGAAUGUCUUUGCCAGUUUUCUUUCUUUAACAAAAAGGAAGAAUGUGUCUCAGAAUUCAAGUAUUCAUUCUCUCUAUUUGGAGACAGACUUAUCUUUACCUUGAAAUCAUGAGUGCUGUGAGUAUGCAAGUGGCUGAAGUAGCAGGAAAGCAAAAGACCCAGAAUUGUUACAUCUAUUUUUGCUUUGAAAAUUACUUCUGUCUUAGCAUCACAAUAUUUCUGUUUAUUUUUCAUUACUGACAGCAUUCAGGUGAAUAAUUUCAAAGCAGUCGCCGUAGACUUGCUUAGAGUUUACCUCUAUCCGUUGCUAAUAUGUACAGAUGUGGAUCCUGAGGCAGGAUUAAUUAUUAUUGUGGUUGAGAUUAGUGGAAAGCUAGUCAAAUAGUUAAGCCCCAGAGUGUGUACUACUAAGCCACAAAGUCCAUGUAUCUGAGUGUUGCGAAUCUGGCCAACUGGCUGGUAGUUAGAAAGCCACUAAAAAGAGGGUAUACGGUGGUUUGUGGGCCGUUACUUACCUGCAUCCAUACUGUGAUUUUCCUCAUGUUUUGGUUUGCCUGUAGUGGAAUAAUAGAAUACUAAGAACAUUUACAAAUAUUUAUAUUGUUCUGUUACUUGAAUAUUUGGUUGUGUACCAAAAUUAUGGUACAUUUUCAACUGGAUAGGUGCAUAACAUUUCGCAUAGACAGAAAUACUCUGUAAGCAUUGUGCCUGCUGUUUUCUUUUUCCUAGGCACUCAUUGCUGCCAUAGCUUACAAAUGACUGGCAUCCAGCAGAUAUUGAUUUACAACUACAUGAUAUCUAGUCUUCUUUUCUUGUCCAGAGGACCAUUCUGCAAAGAAACCCUGUGAAAUGGCCUCCUUUGUUUUUUGUUUUUUUUUUUAAGUCUCUAAAGCGAUAGACUGCUCUCCUCUACCAGGAAACACCAGAAAUUCCCCCUCCUGCCCCGUCAAUCUUUUGGAGCUUUCUAAAGCCCAAAGGAGCAUUAGGUAAGAAGAUCAUUCCCCUGGUGUGAUUUUCACUCUUCCUGGUCACCCACAAGCUAUACUCUUCAAAAAUCAGCUGAAGUGCACAACAGAUGAUAAACAUUUCAAGCCAGUGGUUUAUAGCACACCACAACAAUGGAACUGUGAGCAAAUUAAAAUAUAAGGGGACUUCACAGAAUCACACAGAAUGGCCUGGGUUGGAAGGGACUUCAAGGAUCAUGAAUCUCCAACCCACCCCCCUGCCCCCCCGGCACUGGCAGGGCCACCAACCUCUACAUUUAAUACUAGAGCAGGCUGCCAAGAGCCCCGUCCAGCCUAGCCUUGAACACCUCCACGGAUGGGGGAUCCACAACCUCUCUGGGCAGCCUGUUCCAGCACCUUACCACUCUCACAGUAAAGAACUUGCCCCUGACAUCCAACCUAAAUCUUCCCUCCUUCAACUUAAAACCAUUUCCCCUUGUCCUGCUAUUAUCUCCCCUUUCAAAGAAUUGACUCCCCUAACUUGGCUUAAACACCAGAAAAAUGAAAUUAAAAAAAAAAGAGUAGCAACUUGAUUUUUUUUCAAGACCUUUUUAUUGUCCCAGUUGACCCAGUUGACAUAACUAUAGCCAAUAACUACUUAGAAACAAAUAAAUCUAAAAUUGAAGAUGUGUUUCAUUGCAAGUAACAAGUAUUAAGUAUCUUCAACAAAUGUGAAAAUUAAGUGCCCUUCCCAGUCUGUUUUGUUCCCAUAUCUUGGAUGGCAGUGGGUUUGCAGUGUGGUUUCUGGUUGUUGUGGACUGCAAGGAGUGCUCCUUAUCCCUCCAUCUGACCAUCUGUCUCUAGGUGAGUGAUAACACCUAUCCUGGCAGCUCUCUGGUUAUUCCAUUGCUGGCUGAGUGCUUUUGCUCACUAAGAUGUGUGUGCAGGGGGAAUGUUGAAAUGUGAAAAAUAUGUAGCUAGACUUUGCAUAAAGAUGAGAAAGAAAUGUCAGUUGUCAGAUCGGAUUUAUCGGCUUUGAGUGCAUCCACUGAAUCAACAGAGCCAAAGUUUAAAGUUCUCGUGAAGAAAUCCUGGCCUAAGUAAAGGCAGUGGGAAUGUCGCCAGGGCUGAAUUUAUUCCGAGCCCCUCCCACCCUUUUAAGGGCUGUAUAAUCUUAAUAAAUUCUUCCUGUUCUUCUCAGGUCAGUAGAAUCCUAUGCAUUAUCUUUAGAUUUACAUACCAAACUCUGAGCCAGGCCCGGCUUGGCAUAACUCCUGUAUUGCACUAGAUGUUUCUCUUUAGCUCUGACAGAAUAGCAACAAAAGGGGCUGAUCUUUACCUACGGGUUUUUCUUGGAAAGCUCAGGCUAUGCUGAACAUGGAGCCCAUCAGGACUCCUUGAGAGGCUUUUGCCAGAAGAGAUUUUACAACAAAAGCUUUCUGAGCUGAGCCACACUUGCAGGUUGGGUUUAGCAUAGCAUCCCGAUUAAAAGAUUUUCCAAAAGGCUGUUAAUGUAAACCUCAGAUAGAACCGAUAUACAGAGGAGAAACAGCAAGAUUCACAUUUUCAAGCUGGACUAAAACAAAUGUACGAAAUGCAGAUGCUGCAAAAGGAAAUUAAAAAAGACUUUGUUUUUAUAAUAAUAAAUUGUUUUAACUGUUUGCUGUUGGUUGGUUUGUUUUUAAAAUAAGGGGAUACCACAAUAAAAUAAGUUCUUACCUGUGCUCGACAGAAAGAAAAGAGAGAGAAGCAAACCAAGAGAACUGCAACCACUCUCAUGAUGAGGUUUUAUGUCUUUGUAGAGAAAUUCCCCUGGCCGGGACUUUCCCAAUUGCCAGUCGUUAGGUUUGUGUUUAAUUUUUAACCUUUGGUAAAACACUCUGAAGUGGACUCAGAAACAACUACGGGAGCCUUAGAUAUCAACGGAUGAGUCUGCUCUCUCCACACGGAUCCCACCCCAUUUAACCUGUUUUACUGUAAAUAGAGACCAAAGGGAAGCCCUUGAAGCCAACGGUUACAAGGGAGUGCUCAGCAGGGUCUCUCGCUCCCCGCCUGCUGCCAACGCAGACCGAUGGAGCCGCGGGCCGAUCUCCUGGCAGCAGGCACCCCGCUCUGCAGGGAGCUGUUAGGGCAGGUGCGUUCUUAGGUGAGAUACGUGUGUCUGUAUGCAGGCAGGCAAACGGAACGGAUCAACUCCACUAUCUCCGUGCGAGAGCGUAACCGGCGGAGCCUUGCUCAGAGAACUGUUGGGGCAGUGGCCAAUCCACUGCAUCCCACCUGCGGGCGGUUUCCGGGAGAACCGCGGUCUCGGCCGGCACAACGGAACGGCUCCUGCGA
rnacentral:lncRNA from 1 species